rnacentral:rRNA from 1 species
AGUGAACGCUGGCGGUAGGCCUAACACAUGCAAGUCGAACGGCAGCACAGUAAGAGCUUGCUCUUACGGGUGGCGAGUGGCGGACGGGUGAGGAAUACAUCGGAAUCUACUUUUUCGUGGGGGAUAACGUAGGGAAACUUACGCUAAUACCGCAUACGACCUACGGGUGAAAGCAGGGGAUCUUCGCACCUUGCGCGAUUGAAUGAGCCGAUGUCGGAUUAGCUAGUUGGCGGGGUAAAGGCCCACCAAGGCGACGAUCCGUAGCUGGUCUGAGAGGAUGAUCAGCCACACUGGAACUGAGACACGGUCCAGACUCCUACGGGAGGCAGCAGUGGGGAAUAUUGGACAAUGGGCGCAAGCCUGAUCCAGCCAUACCGCGUGGGUGAAGAAGGCCUUCGGGUUGUAAAGCCCUUUUGUUGGGAAAGAAAAGCAGUAGGUUAAUACCCCGCUGUUCUGACGGUACCCAAAGAAUAAGCACCGGCUAACUUCGUG